rnacentral:lncRNA from 1 species
AUAUUUUAUCCCUAUCAUAUCUAUUUAAAUUAAAUAGAAUCCUAAUCAAACUUUGAUAGGAAGUCGAUCUGGACUCCAUAUAAAGAGGUAUUGGUCCUGCCACAUUCUCAUACGCAUUCUCGUGAAGAUUACCAUCGAUUUCACACCAUACGGGAGAGUGCCUGAAAUAGGAGGAGAAACUAAAUUACCCGAGUUCGGUUGGUGAUGUUCAUAUCGGUACCGGACUUUUCGCUUCUGUAAAUUAAUCAAAAAUUUCUUCUCUAUAGCAUUCUGUGAGUUAUUUAUUUUAUUUUAUAUAUGAUCCUGAAUUUUGAUAUGUGUUCAAUUUAUUAUUAUUUUACAUACCUAUUAAGAUCUAUCAAUUGGUAUUAAAGUAAGGUUGAUAAUAUUAAUGUUGUAUGUAUGAUUUAUUAGAUCGUUUUUUUUUUUUGAGGACUUUUUGACUUUUAUAAUAUUUAUUAAAAGGUUUUAAUUCAUGUAAUGAAUUUUUGUGACGAUCAUGUAAUUUUAAAUUACAUUUAUGAUCAUGUGAAUUAUUUUCAUCUUUGUUUUCUGGCUAUGCACCUGUAUCGGCAGCUUAUCCAUUUAUGAUGCAGUCGCAUGUAUUGAACGUGACGACGAAGGAAUUGUUGGAAUAAAUACCGCAACGAAAAUCUGAUUGUGAUUAAAAUCUAACUAAUUUUGUAAUAAAAAUAAAUAAAUCAAACUUACAGAUAGACGCAAAUAUUCCAAUAAAGAUAUUUAUCUUAUCUGGAAGCGUGCGAGACACUACCCUAAGGCGUAUUCCCGUCCUUACGUGCGGGAUUAACCGGAAAUAACACCCCAAGGUACGACCAGAAUUCCUCCUCGUGCGAGCACAAUCGUGAAGGAGGUUGACGGAGAUUCUUUCAACACCCAGUGGAUAAGGGGAAUAUUAAAAAAUGAAGAUAAAAGAAUCAAUGAAUAGAGAUUAACCAAUAAUCUAAUAUCUUUUCUACUUGCUCUAUUUUGAGUAAGGAGAAAAAGAAAUGGCAUAAAAGGAAAGAGGAUUUUACACUCUUUCUCGUUACGAGAAAGAAGCGGAACCGGCGGAAUGGAAUGGAAUUCCGUUUGGCGCAAGAAACGGAACGGGAAAAUAUCCCGUUAGUUUCUUUCUCAUUAAGAAACAUAAUAACAUAAAUAAAUAAAAUAAAAUAAAUAAAAUAAUAAAUAAUAAAUAAAUUUAAAGUUCAAAUAAAUUUAAAUUCAAAUUUUGAGUUUUUCUCCAACAAUCCCCCACAAAACUCAAAAUUUUUUAAAAUACAAAUUAAAGUCAGAAAAGAAAAAUACUGGGUGUUUAUACUAUGCAAUGGGUGAGGUGUCUUUAAAAGACUUAGCCCCACUUAGUGUAAGCAGUUUCCAUCAGAAGGAAUCGGAGUGAAUCAGGUCUUGAACUACGUUCCUUUGAUCCUUACUUCAACCACAACACACAUAGUACAGAAUUCUCCAUCGCGGGUCUGUGCAUUAAUGACCAUGCACAGUAUCUUAAUUUUUCAUAAGAGUUUCUAUGGAUAGCCCAUAUCAUAUAGCCGCAGCCACAUACAGAUACUCUUAUAUAGGUGGUUUCCUCCAGGGAUGUGUGUAGAGUCACAUCUCGCGAAAAUUACCGCUUGGAUCCCAUUAAGAGCUAUCAGCUCAACCUAAUCCACUGCACAGAGCACUACUCACCAUAGGGAUGGGAUUGGAGGUAAAGCUCCUCUAUAAAAUUUUGUAGAAAGUGCUCUUUGGCCAACCUGACAGCUUGUUUUUAUCACAUUGAAUAUUCUUCAAGGGAUCUCCUAUCACAAAGGUUGGGCCUAUUAUGGGCAAAGCCCCAUCCCCCUCGAUGAUAUUAGGAGCUUAGUCCUGUUCAGGCCUUUCGUCAAGUAAUCUGCAAGAUUCUGAUCAGAUCUAACAAAACUCAAAUAAAUAAUAUGAUAGAAAAUUAACCAUCUAACAGAUUUCUAUCUCAGUAUGAUAUAAAUGUUAACUUUAGAAUUUACCAAUUUUAUUUAUAAGCUAAACAUUAGGAUAAACAAAAUGAAAUCAUGAGGGCAAUUAUAAUAUCAAAAUUUAUCAAAUUGAUAAAAGAGUAUCCCCAACAAGUUCUAAGAUAUACUAAAAUUUAAAAUCAUGAAAUUUAAUCAUGUUUAAUAAA